rnacentral:rRNA from 1 species
AGAGUUUGAUCCUGGCUCAGAUUGAACGCUGGCGGCAGGCUUAACACAUGCAAGUCGAGCGGAGAGAGGUAGCUUGCUACUGAUCUUAGCGGCGGACGGGUGAGUAAUGCUUAGGAAUCUGCCUAUUAGUGGGGGACAACAUUUCGAAAGGAAUGCUAAUACCGCAUACGUCCUACGGGAGAAAGCAGGGGAUCUUCGGACCUUGCGCUAAUAGAUGAGCCUAAGUCGGAUUAGCUAGUUGGUGGGGUAAAGGCCUACCAAGGCGACGAUCUGUAGCGGGUCUGAGAGGAUGAUCCGCCACACUGGGACUGAGACACGGCCCAGACUCCUACGGGAGGCAGCAGUGGGGAAUAUUGGACAAUGGGCGCAAGCCUGAUCCAGCCAUGCCGCGUGUGUGAAGAAGGCCUUAUGGUUGUAAAGCACUUUAAGCGAGGAGGAGGCUACUUUAGUUAAUACCUAGAGAUAGUGGACGUUACUCGCAGAAUAAGCACCGGCUAACUCUGUGCCAGCAGCCGCGGUAAUACAGAGGGUGCAAGCGUUAAUCGGAUUUACUGGGCGUAAAGCGCGCGUAGGCGGCUAAUUAAGUCAAAUGUGAAAUCCCCGAGCUUAACUUGGGAAUUGCAUUCGAUACUGGUUAGCUAGAGUGUGGGAGAGGAUGGUAGAAUUCCAGGUGUAGCGGUGAAAUGCGUAGAGAUCUGGAGGAAUACCGAUGGCGAAGGCAGCCAUCUGGCCUAACACUGACGCUGAGGUGCGAAAGCAUGGGGAGCAAACAGGAUUAGAUACCCUGGUAGUCCAUGCCGUAAACGAUGUCUACUAGCCGUUGGGGCCUUUGAGGCUUUAGUGGCGCAGCUAACGCGAUAAGUAGACCGCCUGGGGAGUACGGUCGCAAGACUAAAACUCAAAUGAAUUGACGGGGGCCCGCACAAGCGGUGGAACCAUGUGGUUUAAUUCGAUGCAACGCGAAGAACCUUACCUGGCCUUGACAUAGUAAGAACUUUCCAGAGAUGGAUUGGUGCCUUCGGGAACUUACAUACAGGUGCUGCAUGGCUGUCGUCAGCUCGUGUCGUGAGAUGUUGGGUUAAGUCCCGCAACGAGCGCAACCCUUUUCCUUAUUUGCCAGCGAGUAAUGUCGGGAACUUUAAGGAUACUGCCAGUGACAAACUGGAGGAAGGCGGGGACGACGUCAAGUCAUCAUGGCCCUUACGGCCAGGGCUACACACGUGCUACAAUGGUCGGUACAAAGGGUUGCUACCUAGCGAUAGGAUGCUAAUCUCAAAAAGCCGAUCGUAGUCCGGAUUGGAGUCUGCAACUCGACUCCAUGAAGUCGGAAUCGCUAGUAAUCGCGGAUCAGAAUGCCGCGGUGAAUACGUUCCCGGGCCUUGUACACACCGCCCGUCACACCAUGGGAGUUUGUUGCACCAGAAGUAGCUAGCCUAACUGCAAAGAGGGCGGUUACCACGGUGUGGCCGAUGACUGGGGUGAAGUCGUAACAAGGUAGCCGUAGGGGAACCUGNGGAUGGAUCACCUCCUUA